AUGACACUGUCACUGCUCUGCUCCCUUUUCCUACUCGCUGCCCCGUCAGGUGUCCUCUCCCAGGUGCAGCUGGUCCAGACUGGCCCGGGAGCGAUGAAACCCGGAGAGACCCUCAGUAUCACCUGUAAGGUUUCUGGAGUCUCCGUCAGCAGCUACUAUUGGAGCUGGGUCCGGCAGCUGUCGGGGAAAGGGCUGGAGUGGAUGGGGCGCAUCCAGAGCACUGCAGCGGGAGGCAGCACAGAGUACAGCUCGGCUUUCAGUAGCCAGAUCACCAUCACCAGGGACACCUCAAAGGACGAAGUUUAUCUCCAGCUCCGCUCGCUGACAGCUGCAGACACCGGCACCUAUUACUGCGCC